GACAGAGGAUGCAAGCGUUAUCCGGAAUGAUUGGGCGUAAAGCGUCUGUAGGUGGCUUUUUAAGUCCGCCGUCAAAUCCCAGGGCUCAACCCUGGACAGGCGGUGGAAACUACCAAGCUGGAGUACGGUAGGGGCAGAGGGAAUUUCCGGUGGAGCGGUGAAAUGCGUAGAGAUUGGAAAGAACACCAAUGGCGAAAGCACUUUACUGGGCUAUCACUGACACUGAGAGACGAAAGCUAGGGUAGCAAAUGGG
rnacentral:rRNA from 1 species